GAGUCCUCUUACCCCUCUGCCUGGCAUAGAACCCUACUGGGAAGGGCAGGAAAGGAGCAGCUGCAGGCCUCCAUCCUCCAGUCCUCUAUUUCUCCCUCCCAAGCACCUGAACCACUGCCUGUAUUUCACCAACACACCCUUGCACACCAGAGGUUAAUGUGCAGCAGCGGGUGUUCCUGCGUUCAGAAUUGCUUUUUGUUACAGUAUUGUUUUGUUAGUGGAUUUAACUUAUAUAAAUGGUAAACAUUGCACAGUCCUGGCAUAUUGUGAAGCUUAUGCACUUUGUGUUGUUAUUUGUAAUUGCUUUUACAGUGAAUUGUAAUAGUAGUUUGAGCUUUUAAUGAGAUAUCCUGUGCCAAAAAAUGUAUUAACUGUGGUACUAUAUUGUCUGACAAUCAUUCUUAAAUGUUCAGCUCAGUUAUUCCAGAAAGAUUUUGAAUUGUGUGACCUAAAAUAGCAACAUGUUUGUAUGCAUUUUUCAUGUGCCAUAGAAUCUCAGUUUGAAGGUUGUUUUAACUUAUUAUAAAGUUUAGGAGAAAUUAGCAUGGAAGGACAAGUACAGCCAGAAAAGGUUUAUUUUGGUGACCUCUUUGGUGGUCUGAUACCAUCUUCAUGUCAGCAAUCCUGAGGCCAUUAUCUUUCAUCACAACAUUUAGUAGGAAAACAACUUGAAAUGAUCAGCUGAUAAUGAUAAUUACACCUAAAACCCACACAAAAUCUUUGAUGUUUUAUCAUUGUUUUUUUCCUCGUCUUGCAAGAUGAAAGCACAGCCUUGUUGACAAGCAAAUCAAUAUCCGAUCAAACCGUCUGUGCAUUUAGUUUUCUUUUCAUUCUCUUAACGUAUUCUGUGUUCUAUAUUAUGCCUCUAAACUUUUUUUUCGAGCAAUGGUGGGGACUUUCUUUUGCUGAGAGUGUGUAUUGUGUGUUCCCUCUCCUUGGCUGGGGAAAAGACUGCUUUAUGGUGCACUGUAUUGUUGCUUGGAGCAGGCAUAACGUCAUUGCACCUGAAUGGUGGUUAUCAAUAGGCAGUUGCCAUGGAAACCAAGCUCCAUCACCGCAGCCAUUACAAGCGAAAGUGUGCAUGGUGUAAUGAUUCAGCAAAAACAAAGCUUCAGCCAUUACAUGUAUAUUUGUUACUGAAUAAAGUAUCAUGGCUCCAA